CGCUCGCCUGAGGCUGCUGCUGCUGCUGCUGCUCCGCUUGGCUGAGGUCAAGAUCUGUUUCCAUUUGGAGAGACUGAAAUGGUCUGGCUGUGACACAGUUGCCACUAAUUACAGAUCAGGCAGAUUAAAACCUGGAGAGGAGCGGGCCAAUCACAAUCUCCCCUGGAACUCUUCCUCCACACCUUGCCUUCCCCUCCAUCUCCUUUGUUUCGCGGUUGGUCGCCCCGUCACCUCUUGCCCAUCUUAAACCUCUCUCUGCAUCCCACUGACUUUUAAGUAUCAUAACCACUGAGACUUAGAAUGAAACUACAUCGAGACUUUUCAUAAGUGAGCAAUUUGUAAAAACCUGAGAGUGCUGAAAGGAAAGGUCCAUCAUUGAAAACGCUUUAAGCAAAGUGGACACAGCGCUGACAACUGGUAAUGACUGUUCAUUAAUCUAUCAGCCACAACAAGCCCCGAUAUACUGACGUCAUCGACAAGGUUUCUUGAGUGUAGCUAUCGAGCUAACUUACCUCCUGAAGCUGAACACAGCGAGCUACGGACACGUGGUGCGGAGACGAGGACCACUUUAAAACCCGGCAGGAGAUUGAACCUCAGAAGCCGGUCCGGCGUGAACGUGAGUGUUGCCUGUACCUUUGCUGCUGAUGGGAGACGGUUUCCAUCAGAGCACCGCUGGGAAACAGCUGUGACUACAGCGGUGUGCUCAUUGGCAAAUACAUGCCUUACAACAUCUCUGAGGGGACGCAGUGGAAUUUGUAAACAGAUAAUAUUCCCCACCCCGAACAACGCUGUCAUCGUCCAUCACGAUGAUACACUGCAGACAUCGUCACAUGCCAGUUCAGUAGACGUCACCCAACCCUAGUCUAGUCCUGAGAAAUUCAAUUAUUUACUGCCUAUGGAGCAGCUCCAGGAUCCGU